GACGUAGGGCGCGAGCGUUGUCCGGAUUUAUUGGGCGUAAAGAGCUCGUAGGCGGCUUGUCGCGUCGUCCGUGAAAACCUGCAGCUCAACUGCAGGCUUGCGGUCGAUACGGGCAGACUAGAGUACUGCAGGGGAGACUGGAAUUCCUGGUGUAGCGGUGGAAUGCGCAGAUAUCAGGAGGAACACCGGUGGCGAAGGCGGGUCUCUGGGCCGAUACUGACGCUGAGGAGCGAAAGCAUGGGUAGCGAACAGG
rnacentral:rRNA from 1 species